rnacentral:rRNA from 1 species
UACGUAGGGUCCGAGCGUUGUCCGGAAUUAUUGGGCGUAAAGGGCUCGUAGGCGGUUCGUCGCGUCGGGAGUGAAAACUCGGAGCUUAACUCCGAGCCUGCUUCCGAUACGGGCAGACUAGAGGUAGGCAGGGGAGAGCGGAACUCCUGGUGUAGCGGUGGAAUGCGCAGAUAUCAGGAGGAACACCGGUGGCGAAGGCGGGUCUCUGGGCAGUAACUGACGCUGAGGAGCGAAAGCGUGGGGAGCGAACAGGAUUAGAAACCCGUGUAGU